rnacentral:lncRNA from 1 species
CGGCCGGACCGUGUACGAUUUCCGACCGGCCACCGCAGAUUUCGGGCCGAAAAGAUGCUCCCCAAUGCCCCCUAGUGCUAAAGUAUAACCAUAGGUAGCGUUUGGAGCUGUCAAGCCGACGCGCGCGGCCGGUCUUUGCGUAUGUUUGGGUUGCUUUGAGACACAUUGAGAGUCUCAAUGUGUCUCAAUUUGAGAUCAAUUUGUGUAUCUGUGUCUCAAUUUGAGACACAGAUACACAUGUGUACGCGCAAGUGGACAAGUCGGGUGUCGGCUUCCUCGAAGCCGGAAAAAGGGCGGGCCCCCCCUGCAUCCGUACAGGCCGGUAGCUAGCACGGCACGUGUGACAAUUGAUGGGUAGUGUCACUGCGGUGGGAGAUGUGCUUUGUUGCAGCAGUAUUGAUGGUGUGGGAGCUAAGCUCGCACCGGCGGAAUCGUCAGCACCGCCUGCGGGCUCCACGCGAAUCGCAUCCAUCCCAGGUGCAUGCCGCAUGGACAGUGCGGCAGACCGCAAGUCGGAAUGCCCGUGCGGGCAAAUUGAUAACGCAAGCUGAGUGAAGUUCGGUGCUGUCUGUGAUGUUUAUCCCCGAAGCGCCAGCGGCCUCAGCAAUCCGCCCCACAGCCGCGAGCUUCAUCGCGGCACACCGCAAGUCUCGGAGGCCCCGUGCAUUGGCCAAAGUAAAUGUACAAACAAGCAGCUUGUGUAUUUCAUAUAGAAAUGCAAGCAAAUUUGUUGGCCUGCUGGUGGCAUGUCGGAUUGCUCAUGCCGGCAAAUGGUAACACAAGCUGGGUGUUCGAGUUAUCAUACGCCGUCAUCUCAGAAUUCCAUUAUGAGAUACGCGGCAGCUUUCGGGAUGAAAUUUAGCGCGAGAGGCGUUGAUGUGACUUUUGAGGUCGGUGAAUGGAGGCAGCUAAACUUGUUUGUGCUCAUACGGUCUUUGUAAGCUACAUGCGAGAUACCUUGCAGUAGAGAAUGCUGUAUAGUACCGAUAACGCGUUUCAGCCGGGUGAAAUAUUAUGUUUGAUCCGUUACACACUCAAGGCAUGGGAGUUCGAGUUGUCAUACGCCGUCAUCUAAGAAUUCAAAUAUGAGAUACGCGGUACCUUUCGGGAUGAAAUUUAGCGCGAGAGGCGUUGAUGUGACUUUGGCCUCGGUCAAUUGAGGCAGCCAAACUUGUUUGUGCUCAUACGAUUUUUGUUGGCUACAUGCGAGAUACCUUGCAAUAGAGAAUGCUGUAUAGUACCUACAACGCGUUUCAGCCGGGCGAGAUAUUAUGUUUGGUCCGUUACACACACACACACACACACACACACACGGACAUGGGCAAUCCUACAGGUCGGGGCCCCCCUGGGCGCUUCGCGCUGGGGCCCCGCCCCAAAAAAAUGAGCAAAGUAGUAUUUUCUGUUUCCUUUUCUUUGGAGCUGGAAGUGGGACACCCUUCCAGUCCGUAAUACCUAAGACCUCGAGUUACAAUGAAGUUCGAUGACAUUUUGGUAAUGGUAACACCUAAUACUGGAUUCACAUGCUACGUUACGUUGCGAAAACUUUUUGGGAAAAGUGGGCCUGAGAAAGUCACCCAGUUCACAUGGGACAUUACGAC